UGCCUUUCCACAGUAUAUUUUUUAUUUCCCAAUACACACUUUUUUUUAUCACUAGCAGGUUGUAUCUGUUAAAAUCUCCACAUCAAUGAAUUUUAAAUGACUAAAUAUAUUGUCACAUUAAAUGAUUACCUUAUCUUUAUUAACAUUGAUAGUAAUUCUCAGCAUAAUAUAAAACAUUGAAAGAAAACCCAACCAGAGACAUGUUUGGGAUAUUCAACCUGAUCUGCAUUAAAUUCGUCCACAUCCCAGGUGAAAACGGCCUUAAUAAUUAUUUAUAUUUUCACUGCAGGUAGGAGAUGAUAUUAAAAUAUGAUACAAAUGUAUGUAUAUUUAAAGAACAAUCUAUUAAAAUGUUAAGAAUUUUGAUAUUUACUGGUUCUAGUAUUUUAAUUGUAUGAUUCGCUCAAAGACAAUUGAAUAACUUUUUCUCAUACAAAUUCUAAAAAUUAAUAUUGAUAUUAAAAUCCAAAGGAUAUAACUGUAUCUAAUGAGAUUCAAAAUCAUAUCACAUGUAGACAGGAAUAAUAUAAAAUUUUCAAUAUUUCUUGAAAUAUUUAUCUAUAAAAAAUUCUAAUUAAUGGCACUUCUAGAGCCAGUUUACUCUUAAAAAAUAAGUUUUCUGAAGGUAAAAAAUAAUUCUUUAUAAUGCUGUAGUAAAACAAGAAUGACAGUAGCUGUAUUUGGGUUUCAAGAAAGUCUCAGAUUAUCGUUCAUAUUAUAAAGGUUUUCUUGUUUAUCAAUGAUGUCCUGUUAGAAUUUCAUGUCUGUCUAAAUACCCUGUUGUUUUAACACCCUGUCUUUGCAGCGUUGCAUUUGACUUACAGAAAAUAUCCACCAUGGUUGAAUACUGACAUAGUCAGAUACCAAAACAACUUUAUAUGUGAUCAAAACUAAAUUAAAGAUUUUUGCCAUAGAAUUGAUUGAUGGCAAAGAUUUAAAAAAUCUCUGAAAAAUCUUAAAAAGUUUCUUGUAGCAAUAAUAUACAGAACUGUAUUCAGGGCAAUUCAUAGAUCACUGUUGACAAUAUAAGUACUGAAAUCAUAUCUGGCUGUAGGGUAUAGCGCAAAUAUUGGCUAUAACAAGCAUGCUGGGUAUUGCUAAAGCAACAUGUACCCUACUGGCUCCUGCUAAAAAUAGUAAGUGACAUUGACUUUGACCCAAACUUGAUCAGUAGCUACUCAUACCAAAGUUACAUACUGACUUCACCAAUAUACAAAAUGUACCUUGAAUAUGGCUGAGAAUAGUGAGGAAAACUGAGUGGACAGAUGAAUGGGGAGAAAACCUUUAGUCCUUCUGGUUUCACCGGCAGGCAAUAUUGUAACCACUUGUAUUAUUAAUGUAAUAGUGCAUUUAUCUUGUUAAUAAUAUGGAUGGUCAAGUGGCACAGAAGUAAAACACUUGCAUUUCACCUAGGCAACCAGGGCUCGAUUCCCUGAUCGGGCGUGAAAAAGUAUGGGGUCACUUGCCAACCACAUGGGUUUUCUCUCGUACUUUGGUUUCCAUCUGGGCCAACAAGUAUGAUUAAUAAAAAUAGAUAUAGAAUAAUCAGAAUUUGUAUUUUAGAUCUGAACUCUGAUUUUCUGUGCUUUUCAUUUUUGAGAUUCUGUCAAAUGAAUGCUGAUGAAACAGGGACAGUAUUCCAUGUACAUAUACAUAUUACAUACUGUUGACAUUCAAUCACAAGUCCAGGAGAAAACUGGAGCAUAUAAGAGUUUAAAAUUCAGAUCACUCUAUCCAGUUAAUCUGUAAUUGAUCAUUUCUUAUGAGCACGUGUAACUCAUAGGAAAAACAAUGUUCAUAAAUGAAUAUAAAAUAUACAGAUAUCACACAAGGUGUCUCUAAAUCUAAGAAAUAUGCUUUUUAAACACCCACACAUAUCAAUGAUUUGGCACCCUGGAGUUAAAAGGACACAGCUUGAGUAAUCUUGUGCUUGACAAACCCAGAAUAACAUUGGUAUAAUUAACACCAUUCUAGCACCCCCUGGUUAAAGUUUAAGCAUCCUUUUCAACCCUUUCAUUAUAUCCUAUGAACAUUAGCACUCAUUUUUAACAGAUAUUACACCUGCUAGAAAAAAA